rnacentral:rRNA from 1 species
GUCCACGCCCUAAACGAUGAAUACUAGUUGUCGGGAUUCCUAAUUGUCUCGGUGACGCAGCUAACGCAUUAAGUAUUCCGCCUGGGAAUUACGGUCGCAAGAUUAAAACUCAAAGGAAUUGACGGGGGCCCGCACAAGCGGUGGAGCAUGUGGUUUAAUUCGAUGCUACGCGAAAACCUUACCUAGGUUUGACAUCCCGCGCUAACCCAUGAAAGUGGGCGUUCCCUUCGGGGACGCGGAGACAGGUGCUGCAUGGCUGUCGU